rnacentral:rRNA from 1 species
UACGUAGGUGGCAAGCGUUGUCCGGAAUUAUUGGGCGUAAAGCGCGCGCAGGUGGUUCCUUAAGUCUGAUGUGAAAGCCCACGGCUCAACCGUGGAAGGUCAUUGGAAACUGGGGAACUUGAGUGCAGAAGAGGAAAGUGGAAUUCCAAGUGUAGCGGUGAAAUGCGUAGAUAUUUGGAGGAACACCAGUGGCGAAGGCGACUUUCUGGUCUGUAACUGACACUGAGGCGCGAAAAGCGUGGGGAGCAAACAGG